rnacentral:rRNA from 1 species
UAGUCCACGCUGUAAACGAUGAGUGCUAGGUGUCGGGGGUCAAACCUCGGUGCCGUCGUUAACACAAUAAGCACUCCGCCUGGGGAGUACGUGCGCAAGCAUGAAACUCAAAGGAAUUGACGGGGACCCGCACAAGCAGCGGAGCAUGUGGUUUAAUUCGAAGCAACGCGAAGAACCUUACCGGGACUUGAAAUAUUGUCGCCAAUUUUAGAGAUAAAAUGUUUUCUUCGGAAACGGCAAUAC